UGAUAGAUUUACCAUGAAAUAUGUUUUUUUUUUAUGGUUUCUGGUAGAAAAUAUUUGUAAUAAGGCCGGCAAUUUUAAAUAAACGCAAGUGUUGGACCCCGUAAUACAAAAACAAAGUAAAAUCGAAACGAGAAUGUGCAAGCUUAUACGAUUGGUGUUUGGAUAUAAAUACUGGAAUACUGGGAGGUUGUAUAAAUAUUGAUAUAAUAGCUGUAGUUAAAAAGGUCGGUGAACUAUAAA